GUUCCUACGGGAGGCAGCAGUGGGGAAUAUUGCACAAUGGGGGGAACCCUGAUGCAGCGACGCCGCGUGAGUGAAGAAGUAUUUCGGUAUGUAAAGCACUAUCAGCAGGGAAGAAGAUGACGGUACCUGACUAAGAAGCCCCGGCUAACUACGUGCCAGCAGCCGCGGUAAUACGUAGGGGGCAAGCGUUAUCCGGAUUUACUGGGUGUAAAGGGAGCGUAGACGGCAGGGCAAGUCUGGAGUGAAAGCCCGGG
rnacentral:rRNA from 1 species